AGUUGAUCUCACCAAAGGAUCAUCUGCAAGCCUAUUUCCUUUUGAGAAAUUUGAUGUAUGUUGGUUUGUGGAGUAACCCAGUCAAUGCUCAGGAAAUAUGAGAGUGGAGUGAAGAUGAUCCAGAUCAAUAAGAUGGUUGUAGAGAUCCUCAAGGAUCACCCAUCUUGGUACCAUGAUUGCGGAUUCAUUGAUAUCAUCCAUGUUAUCCCUACGGGUAAUGGUGGAACCAUUGAGCUCAUCUACAUGCAGACUUAUGCACCAACAACUUUGGCGGCACCACUCGACUUUUGGACGCUACUACACCAGUGGACUUGAAGAUGUGUGAAAAGGUCAUUGACUUGGUCCACUGGUGGCCCAUCUAGGCCAAACACUCUGAAUGUAUUGACUUGGUGAGUCAACCUGUGAUGCAAUUGAACUUGUUUUGGAUAGUGAUUUGUGGAUGUAAUUAGUUGAUUUUGUAACUGACUUGUGGAUAACCUAUGAUGUUUUUUUUUCUGAAUCUGUGAUAGACUGUUUUGUGAAUCUGUAUUAAAUGUGAGCUAGUGCAUGUGUGUUGAAUAUUGUUAAUUGGGCUAUAAGAUGUCAGA